ensembl:lncRNA
UUAGCAAGGAGGGGAGCUCAUUGUUGUGAAAGGGAAUACAAUGUGGCUGCUAUGGAUGUGAACCAGGUUUACACGUGAUCACGGGUGUAUUCAUUCCGCCGAUUCUGUAGAAAAAAAGUUUCUUAAACGGAAACAAAUGGAACAAAACAGAGAUAAACAGAUGUGAAUUUGUCCAAUGGAAACUCAGAUUUGCAAAUGUUGGACUAAUGGUUACACCCUAGAUCAGCUAGAUGCAGGCAAGAGUGGACUAAUGCUUACACCCUAGAUCAGCUAGAUGCAGGCAAGAGUGGACUAAUGAUUACACCCUAGAUCAGCUAGAUGCAGGCAAGAUUGUGGACUAAUGAUUACACCCUAGAUCAGCUAGAUGCAGGCAAGAGUGGACUAAUGAUUACACCCUAGAUCAGCUAGAUGCAGGCAAGAGUGGACUAAUGAUUACACCCUAGAUCAGCUAGAUGCAGGCAAGAUUGUGGACUAAUGAUUACACCCUAGAUCAGCUAGAUGCAGGCAAGAGUGGACUAAUGAUUACACCCUAGAUCAGCUAGAUGCAGGCAAGAGUGGACUAAUGAUUACACCCUAGAUCAGCUAGAUGCAGGCAAGAGUGGACUAAUGAUUACACCCUAGAUCAGCUAGAUGCAGGCAAGAUUGUGGACUAAUGAUUACACCCUAGAUCAGCUAGAUGCAGGCAAGAGUGGACUAAUGAUUACACCCUAGAUCAG